CCUACGGGAGGCAGCAGUAGGGAAUAUUGGGCAAUGGAGGCAACUCUGACCCAGCCAUGCCGCGUGCAGGAUGAAGGCGUUAUGCGUUGUAAACUGCUUUUAUAUAGGAAGAAAUAGACCUUGCGAGGUAAGUUGACGGUACUAUAUGAAUAAGCACCGGCUAACUCCGUGCCAGCAGCCGCGGUAAUACGGAGGGUGCAAGCGUUGUCCGGAUUUAUUGGGUUUAAAGGGUGCGUAGGCGGUUUAUUAAGUCAGUGGUGAAAGACGGUCGCUCAACGAUUGCAGUGCCAUUGAUACUGGUAGACUUGAGUAUGAUUGAGGUAGCUGGAAUGGAUAGUGUAGCGGUGAAAUGCAUAGAUAUUAUCCAGAACACCAAUUGCGUAGGCAAGUUACUAAGUCAUAACUGACGCUGAUGCACGAAAGUGUGGGUAUCAAACAGGAUUAGAUACCCUGGUAGUCCACACUGUAAACGAUGAUAACUAACUGUUGGCUUUCGGGUCAGUGGUACAGAGAAAUCGUUAAGUUAUCCACCUGGGGAGGACGCGCGACGUAGAACGUAAAGUAGAGUAGAGNGNGAGAGNGCGAGACGACGACGAGGGAGGAGG
rnacentral:rRNA from 1 species